CUUUACCUACGGGGCGCAGCAGUGGGGAAUAUUGGGCAAUGGGCGCAAGCCUGACCCAGCAACGCCGCGUGAAGGAAGAAGGCCCCCGGGUUGUAAACUUCUUUUAUCAGGGACGAAGAAGUGACGGUACCUGAUGAAUAAGCCACGGCUAACUACGUGCCAGCAGCCGCGGUAAUACGUAGGUGGCAAGCGUUAUCCGGAUUUACUGGGUGUAAAGGGCGUGUAGGCGGGGAAGCAAGUCAGAUGUGAAAUUCCAGG
rnacentral:rRNA from 1 species